rnacentral:rRNA from 1 species
AGAGUAAAGAAUUAUUAAUCUUGAAAAACUAAAUUGCUUGGCGGCUUAUUAACUAAAUAGAGAAGCAUGCUUUUUAAUGGAUGUUACACAAAAAUCUUACCUAAUAUUGUUAAUACAUUUGGUACACCGCCGUCGGAAGAAUAGUCUUAUAGGAGUUGUUCUAAUAUCUUCAUAAGGAAUUAAGUCAGGCCAAGGCACCGAUUAUUAUUAGGUUAAAGUGUGUUUCAUUAUUA